UUGGUUAAGUUAGAAAGGGCGCACGGUGGAUGCCUUGGCACUAGGAGCCGAAGAAGGACGGGACUAACACCGAUAUGCUUUGGGGAGCUGUACGUAAGCGUUGAUCCAGAGAUUUCCGAAUGGGGGAACCCACUAUCUUUAGUCGGAUAGUAUCCUUACGUGAAUACAUAGCGUGAGGAAGGCAGACCCAGGGAACUGAAACAUCUAAGUACCUGGAGGAAGAGAAAGAAAAAUCGAUUUCCUGAGUAGCGGCGAGCGAAACGGAAAGAGCCCAAACCAAGAAGCUUGCUUCUUGGGGUUGUAGGACACUCUAUACGGAGUUACAAAAGAAAGUUAUAAAUGAAGCGGUCUGGAAAGGCCCGCCAAAGACGGUAACAGCCCGGUAGUUGAAAUGGCUUUCCCUCCAGAGUGGAUCCUGAGUACGGCGGAACACGUGAAAUUCCGUCGGAAUCCGGGAGGACCAUCUCCCAAGGCUAAAUACUCCCUAGUGACCGAUAGUGAACCAGUACCGUGAGGGAAAGGUGAAAAGCACCCCGGAAGGGGAGUGAAACAGUUCCUGAAACCGUGUGCCUACAAGUAGUUAGAGCCCGUUAAUGGGUGAUAGCGUGCCUUUUGUAGAAUGAACCGGCGAGUUACGAUUUGUUGCAAGGUUAAGCGGAAAAAGCGGAGCCGUAGCGAAAGCGAGUCUGAAUAGGGCGCAUAAGUAACAGGUCGUAGACCCGAAACCAGGUGAUCUACCCAUGUCCAGGAUGAAGGUAAGGUAAUACUUACUGGAGGUCCGAACCCACGCACGUUGAAAAGUGCGGGGAUGAGGUGUGGGUAGCGGAGAAAUUCCAAUCGAACUUGGAGAUAGCUGGUUCUCUCCGAAAUAGCUUUAGGGCUAGCCUCGAGGUAAAGAGUCAUGGAGGUAGAGCACUGUUUGGACUAGGGGCCCUUCUCGGGUUACCGAAUUCAGAUAAACUCCGAAUGCCAUGUACUUAUACUCGGGAGUCAGACUGCGAGUGAUAAGAUCCGUAGUCGAAAGGGAAACAGCCCAGACCACCAGUUAAGGUCCCCAAAUAUAUGUUAAGUGGAAAAGGAUGUGGGGUUGCUUAGACAACCAGGAUGUUGGCUUAGAAGCAGCCACCAUUGAAAGAGUGCGUAAUAGCUCACUGGUCGAGUGACCCCGCGCCGAAAAUGUACCGGGGCUAAACAUAUUACCGAAACUGUGGAUGAACCUCUUUAGAGGUUCGUGGUAGGAGAGCGUUCUAAGGGCGGUGAAGUCAGACCGGAAGGACUGGUGGAGCGCUUAGAAGUGAGAAUGCCGGUAUGAGUAGCGAAAGAAGGGUGAGAAUCCCUUCCACCGAAUAUCUAAGGUUUCCUGAGGAAGGCUCGUCCGCUCAGGGUUAGUCGGGACCUAAGCCGAGGCCGAUAGGCGUAGGCGAUGGACAACAGGUAGAGAUUCCUGUACCAGUGCUAAUUGUUUAACCGAUGGGGUGACACAGAAGGAUAGGGAAUCGCACGAAUGGAAAUGUGCGUCCAAGCAGUGAGUGUGA
rnacentral:rRNA from 2 species